CUGCCCUUGGGUCCGGCAUAACCCCGGGAAACUGGGGAUAAUUCCGGAUAACGCACAUAUGCUGGAAUGCUUUAUGCGUCAAAUGGAUUCGUCUGCCCAAGGAUGGGUCUGCGGCCUAUCAGGUAGUAGUGGGUGUAAUGUACCUACUAGCCGACGACGGGUACGGGUUGUGAGAGCAAGAGCCCGGAGAUGGAUUCUGAGACAUGAAUCCAGGCCCUACGGGGCGCAGCAGGCGCGAAAACUUUACAAUGCGGGAAACCGUGAUAAGGAGACACCGAGUGCCAGCAUCAUAUGCUGGCUGUCCGGGUGUGUAAAAUACACCUGUUAGCAAGGGCCGGGCAAGACCGGUGCCAGCCGCCGCGGUAACACCGGCGGCCCGAGUGGUGAUCGUGAUUAUUGGGUCUAAAGGGUCCGUAGCCGGUUUGGUCAGUCCUCCGGGAAAUCUGACGGCUUAACCGUUAGGCUUUCGGAGGAUACUGCCAGGCUUGGAACCGGGAGAGGUAAGAGGUACUACAGGGGUAGGAGUGAAAUCUUGUAAUCCCUGUGGGACCACCUGUGGCG
rnacentral:rRNA from 1 species